rnacentral:rRNA from 1 species
CUAAACAGGGACAGGCCUGGUCCGUACCUGGAUGGGAGACCGCCUGGGAAUACCUGGUGCUGUAGGCU